CAAGCGGACCACAUAUAAAACCGAAGACACGUGCGUAACGGAGGUGAACCAGUCUGUGAUCCGCGGUGAACAGUGUUCGAACGUUUGUCCAGGCGAUCUACCGGGUGGCUGAAACCAAGCACAUCGUCGAGUCCCUCGCAAUCAAAAGUCCUUCGGAUGAUUGCCCAUGAUUACUUUAAAUGACGAUCAGGGAAGUAAUAACAAGCCACAGUCCAAAAUACGUAACGAGAAUAACCAACCACCCAAACCACCUUGCCGCGAACCUACUGAAUGAAGAAAGUAUAAGAAUGAGGAUGAAAAGACACAAACCGAAAGACCCAAGUGUAAGAUUGUAAAACGGAACCAACAAUAAAUCGUCAACAACAAAGGAUCCGACAUCAAUCGAUGUCAACUUGGCUCGUGCAAACAUCAAUACACCCCACAAAAUUGC